AUAUAAAAUUAUUAACUUAUUUGUGAUGUAGAUUGAUAGUGAAAAU
rnacentral:guide_RNA from 1 species